GGGGGUAAUGCACUUUCAGUUGAUCUGUUACCAGCCAUGAAGGUAACUCUGCUCUACAGCUGGAGUGUUUUUGGAGCUUUAUCCCACAGUCCUGGAGGAACAGGAUCAUCUGAACUGUAGAAGCUUCAUCCUUCCUACCUGCCUAAGGUUUUUAUUCAAAAACAACCAAUCAAUUUCACAAGCAUCAAGUUUCAGGUGCUGAAAGAGGUUAAGCACAAGAAUCCAUCAAAAAAAUUGUUUACUACAUGUCACAGAUAAAUUAAAAACCAAGUCUAGGAAAGAUGAAAACUCACCAAUGUUCAGACUGUGGGAAGAGCUUUCAUAGACUGAGUAAUCUCAAAUCACACCAGCUAAUUCACACAGGUGAGAAACCUUUUCAGUGCUCAGUUUGUGGGAAGAGUUUUAAUCAACGGAGUAAUCUCAAAGCACACCAGCGCAUUCACACUGGAGAGACACCGCAUCCCUGUUCAGACUGUGGGAGGAUUUUUAAUCAACUGCCUCAACUCCAACUACAUCAGCGCACUCACACAGGAGAAAAACCUUAUCACUGUCCAGACUGUGGAAAGAGUUUUAAUCAACAAAUUACUCUCAACACACACCAGCGUAUUCACACAGGAGAAAAACCAUAUUACUACUCAGAAUGUGGGAAAAGUUUUAAUCAGCUAAUUAUUCUAAACAGACAUCAGCGCACUCACACAGGAGAGAAACCGUAUCAGUGUUCAGAGUGUGGGAAGAGUUUUAAUCAACUGGGUCACCUCCAACAGCACCAGUGCACUCAUUACAUUACAUUACAUUACAUUUGGCAGACGCUUUUGUCCAAAGCGACUUACAAUAGUCAAGUACAAUGUAAAAUAAGUUUAAAGGAAAAACAUCUUUGGAUAGGGAUAAAAGGAGGACAAAGGGGAAUAAUAGGAUAGAGGAGUGAAGGAGAGGAAGAAGGAAAUGAGGUUAGAAGUAGUUAGUGUGUUAGAGGUGUUAAGAGAGUAAGUGCUCUUUGAAGAGCUCUGUCUUCAGGAGUUUCUUAAAGAUAGCGAGAGAUUCUCCUGAUCUGGUAGUGGAGGGUAGUUUGUUCCACCAUUGGGGAACUCUGUAUGAGAACAGUCUGGAUUGCUUUGUGUGAAUGUUUGGCAAAGCGAGGCGACGUUCACUGGAGGAGCGCAGCGGCCGGGAGGUAGCGUAAGCCUUCAGGAGCGAGUGCAGGUAGGAAGGAGCCUGUUCUGACAUCACCUUGUAGGCGAUUGUAAGAGUUUUGAAUUUGAUGCGAGCAUCAACUGGUAGCCAAUGGAGCUCAAUGAGCAGCGGGGUGACAUGUGCCCGUUUUGGCUGGUUGAAGACCAGACGUGCUGCUGCUCACACAGGAGAGAAACCAUAUCACUGCUCUGAGUGUGGAAAAAGUUUUAAUCAACUGGGUCACCUCCAGCUACACCAGCGCAUUCACACAGGAGAGAAACCGUAUUACUGUUUGAAGUGUGAAAAGAGCUUCAGGCAUUCACCUACAUUUAAAAACCACAAAUGUUCUAAUGGAGACCAAAGGGAUAGUUGAAGACAAAGACCUACAAUGUUGUUGCAUAAAUGUAGAUCCUAUAUUAAUGACUGUCAUAACAAAGCUUGAACUAAUUGUAUCUGAAACCAUGUGCUGUCCAGUUAAAUUCCCUACAUUGAGUGAUUAGCAUUUAUUAUAACAAAAUAUUGUCAGUUUGAUUUUUAGAAAAUAAAUAAAUAUACCACAGACAUAAUUCUUCAACUCAUUAACAUUGAAAAAAAAAAUAUAUAUAUAUAUAUUUUUUUUUUUUUUCGUGCGUCUUAACAUGUUUUUAUUUAAAAAUUGCUGAGUUGGGCAUAUAAUAAAUGAAAUCAUGUUUUGUGGUUCCCCAGUUUCACCCUGCAGAAAAAGUCUGGCCUAUAUGAAUCUUCACAGCUGUUUCAGUGAUGUAAUGUAAGAAAGCUCUGUUUACUGUUAUCACAUGAUGUUUCCAUUGAGGCACAGAAUGAUACAGUUUGCAUAUAUAUAUAAUUGGAGUAGUUUGUUUUGCAGGGCAUUAUUUUUUUAAUGCUUUUGCUAUAUUGUGAAGAACAGAGAAUAAAAAAAUUAACUGAUGAGCUACAGAGUUGCUUACUGUCUAUUCUAUUAGACACUCUCAUCUAUUGCUGCACAGUUUGUGUUGGUCAUUCGCUUGUCCUUAAUCAUCAAAGGAGAAGACCUGCAGGCUGUAAAUCAUAAAACUACAUGCUGAUCAGUUCUUUGUUAAAUUAAAUCAGGUCUGCUGGUAAACAACUAUGAAAAGAAUCCAUGUCGAAGCAAAAGUGUACCAAUAAUAUGAUAUGAUUUUCAGUAGCUUUAGUUUUUCUUCAGUAUUUUGUUUAUGCUUGUGUAUUGUUCAUACAGUGCAUAUUACUGACCAGAAUAAGAUCAAAACUAAAUAAGAUAUUGAUGGCAACAUUCCAAUGAUAAUUGAGUUUACUCUUAUUUUGUUAUGCUCAUCUUAUUAUUUUGAUAUAGUAAGUCGUUAUUUUGAUAUACUAAGUCAUCUUGAGAUAGAAAAUCAUUAUUUUGAGAAAGUAAAUAAUUAUUUUGGGAUGGUAAGUCAUUGUUUUGAAAUACUAUCUCAUUAUUUUGAGAUAAUAUUUUGAGAUAUUUAAUCAUUAUUUUGAGAUAUUAAGUAUUUU